CACGUAGGGGGCAAGCGUUGUCCGGAUUUAUUGGGCGUAAAGAGCGUGUAGGCGGCCAGAUAGGUCCGUUGUGAAAACUCGAGGCUCAACCUCGAGACGCCGAUGGAAACCAUCUGGCUAGAGUCCGGAAGAGGAGAGUGGAAUUCCCGGUGUAGCGGUGAAAUGCGCAGAUAUACGGGAAGAACACCCCGUGGCUAAAGGCGGCUCUCUAGUA
rnacentral:rRNA from 1 species